rnacentral:snRNA from 1 species
AAGAAGAUGUUGUUGUUGU